AGACGGCUCUCCUCUUCCAGCUGGCAGAACUCCAGCUCCUCAAACUGCUUGGUCCCAGACUCCAGAGCUUCAGCUUUCUGUGCACAAACAGAGAAGUUAUUGAAAUCUGUGAAAUUUAGCUAUUAAAGGCCUCCACCUGCUCCUGCUCUGCCCGCCGCUCUGCCUGCAGCAGGGCUUGCUCCAUCUCCACCUACAGACAAAUACGGAGUCAGAGUCUGCAAGUUAAACAAAUACUAUAAAGAGCUUCUGCUCCUCUUGCUGCGUUGCUGCUGCUCCAGCUCACUGACUCUGUGCUUCAAAUCAUCAACCCUGGCCAGGAUCCUGUUCCUCUCCUCCUCCAGACUCCUCUCUCUGGAUUUCCUCGUCGUUCUCUCUCACCCUCUGGUUUCGGCCGUCUCCCGGGAGAGCCAUCCCACCUCCCGAGUCCGAACAAAGUCCUCUACCAGCACCCAGCAGACCACUCUUCACCAGCUCCACAGAGCCGUCCUCAUGAUUAUACUCUGCGCACAAAUUCAGGAUGGUCUCCAGUCUCUGUCGCUCCUUUAGAAGAGAUGCAAAAUAGAACUGGAUCCUUUGAAAUGUCAUCCAAGAACAGGCUACUCCCCAAAGACGCAGAGAAGCAACCCUCUUGCCCGCCAAAAAAGACCCCAAUGGAUACAAGGACAAGCACCCCUGCCGACUGGUUCAAUCCCUGGCUGCUCCAGUCUUCUUGUCAAAUAUCCUUGGCACAGACUGCCUGCGUUACCUUUAUGGUCCUUGAGACUGCGGGUUUCCAAGGCACCAGUGGAGCCAGUAUCUGAUUCCACAUCGUCCACAGAGGGACGCUCUGAUACGUCAGAGGGCGUGGUUUCAUCUGGGUCAUGGUGACGCCCUGACCCGUAAUGGUUGCCGUGCAUGGCUGCGUCCA